CCUGCCUGUAAGCUCCACCCAGCAGGUGGAAUCCAGUCGUUCAGAGGUCCACAGGGUCCUCACCCCUCUGCUGAGAAAACAGGGAAAGUCUCAUAUCAGGCCACCACUUCAUUUACACGGGGGGAGCAAGAAGUGGCCAACAGGAAAGCUGUACCGGGUACUCAGGCCUGAGAAGAUUCUGUACCGUUGAGCUGCUGCUUGGACCUUCUCCCACACUGUGGAGUGCAGGCGCACACUCCAUCUAUUCUUGUUGAUGUGACGGUCCCCACUCCUCUGUUCUACCAGAUUUAGGUCAGCUGCUCCGAGCACAUGGCAAAGCAGCUUUAGACUCCUGCACUGUGGAAAAACACUCGCUGAGCCUGAGUAAUUGAAAGGAAAAUGAAUGCUUACUGUCAAAACCUCCACUGCUAUUUUCCCACGCUGAAGUCUAUUUUCCUUAGAUCUCAGCAACCUGGCUUGGAGGCUGCGCUAGGAAGAUGUGUCCUCCUCCAUCUCAGCAUUCUACAGGCUAAUGCCCAAUGAGAGAGGACCAUGUUCUGACCGCCUUUGGAGACUGGGAUUCCUGGUGAGGGCUGGGGACCUUCUCCUAAAGACGGAAUCAACCAGAAACCAGAAAGGAGUUGUAGAAAACAGCAGCACCACCCCUCUAACGCCAUCUUUGAAAGAACCAUGACAAUCUUGCCGUUCAAGGAUGAGCUCUCUUCAAUGUAGCUCACAGGAAAUAAAGCACCGAGUUUCAACCAAGAUAGGAGUGAGGCUGGGCGCGGUGGCUCAUGCCUGUAAUCCCAGCACUUUGGGAGGCCGAGGCUGGUGGAUCACGAGGUCAAGAGAUCGAGACCAUCCUGGUCAACAAGGUGAAACCCCGUCUCUACUAAAAAUACAAAAAAUUAGCCGAGCAUGGUGGGGCAUGCCUGUAAUCCCAGCUACUCAGGAGGCUGAGGCAGGAGAAUUGCCUGAACCCAGGAGGCGGAGGUUGCAGUGAGCCGAGAUUGUGCCAUUGCACUCCAGCCUGGGUAACAAGAGCAAAACUCCGUCUCAAAAAAAAAAGACAGGAGUGAGUGUGAUUCUGGUUUCACCACCUACUAUUUGGGUAAGCAAAAGAAUCUGUUUCAUGAUUACUGUCAUGUAGAAGAGGUGAUUAAAGCCUUUUGCCUUCAUAUUGGUGCCUUGAUCACUAAAAUUAUUUGGAGAAAGGCAUUUCUAUGUGUAGAUGUGUAUACAGACAUAAAGAUACACAAAUGUAUGUUAUAUACAAAUAACACACAUAUAAAUAUAUGUUAGGUGUGUGUGUAUGUUUAUUAUACUAUAAGCUGAUUUCCAAAAAGGAUUUGUAUCAGUUUAAGAAAAAAAAAAAAAAAAAACAAGAAAAAUCAUGCAGUCAUUUAAAUACUUUUGUUCUCUGCUGGUGGAUGUGCCAAUCAGCAUAACGUUUCUGAAAUGCAUUUGUUAUAUCAAGAGUCUUAAAAUGUUUAUUUUGGCCACUUCUAGAAAUCUAUUCUAAGUAAAUAUUAAAAGUCAAGUGUAGAUUAUGUUUUAAAAGAGUUUAUUACAAACGUUAUUUUGGCAACAAAAUUUGGAAACUGCCCACAUGCUUAACAGUGAAGAGAAAAGGUAAAUAAGUAAUUAGAAAUGCUAUAAUAUCAAGUGAAAAAUCACAAAUUGUGUAUAUCGUAUGACUGCAACUAUGCAUGGCUGUAAAAAAGACUGGAAAUAAUCACCUAUAAUUUCACCAUUGCUGGUAAUUAAAUCUUUUGGUGCAAUUAUUUUCUUUGCGUGAUUCAGUAUUUUCAAUUUUUGCCAGGGUUCUUUCGUAAAAGAAAAUAUAAACAUAAUAUUAAAACAACAACAAAAAAUCGUUUGUGAGAGAGCUAAGAAAAGAUCAAUGCCUUCCCGGAUGUUGACCCCCAGCCUAUUUCAGACCUCAUCCUGUUUGAGCCAACUGCAGCAUCUGACGCCGCGCACCCUUCCAGCCUCCAGGAAUCCUUUUCCUGUGCUGUCUUCACUGUGCGCGAAGAGUGCUGUGAUUGAUUGACAAUGCCUGCCACGGGCACAGAGGGCAGGAGUGGGUCAGGUGCACUACACAUCCGCCAUCUUUGCUCUACUUUUCCCUUGACAAUCGCCCUCCUUCCCAUGGCAUCUUCUCAUGUUCUCGCUAACGAUUCAAGCCGACGUUCCAGCAUCUUUCACUCUCUCACCUCCACACCCUCUAUUCCACUCCAUCUGGUCUUGCUAUCAGGGAUCUCGAACUUCACAGAGUUUGGCUCUUGUGGCCCAGGCUAGAGUGUGCAUUGGUGUGAUCUCAGCUCACUGCAACCUCCGCCUCCUGGGUUUAAGCAAGUAUCCUGCCUCAGUCUCCCGAGUAGCUGGAAUUACAGGCGCCUGCCACCACGCCCAGGUAAUUUUUUGUAUUUUUAGUAGAGACGGGGUUUCACCAAAUUCCUGACCUCAGGUGAUCCACCGCCUUGGCCUCCCUAAGUAUUAGGAUUACAGGCGUUAGCCACCACGCCCAGCCCACUUACCUGGUUUUUAAAGGUAAAAACCUUUAAGGGUAAAAACUUUGUAUCAUUCUUACCUUUUUCCAUCCUUUCCUCCCAACCCAGUGAGUCAUGGAACCCUUGGUGCGACCUCAGAAAUGGGCUCAUAUGGAGCCACCCUGGUCAGGCCUGCGUUUCUUCCACGUCCAUCGAUUCCGGCAGUUGCCGCACUGGCUUCUCCCAGGUUCUUGCCUCCUCACUUUGUUGCCAGGGUUAUGGUCUCAUAAUCAAAGUAGAGACUCACUCGCCUGCCGGAGGCCUCUGUCACCUCCCUUGGCCCACUGCUGGGUCACUGACUGCAGUUUGCCUGUGCCCCCCACUCCACCUGCUCCUCUUGUCCGGCACUGUGGUGGCCUGCGUCCCGGCCGGGCACCUUUCUGCCUGCAGGGCCUCUUGCCCUCUUACCCUAGAUUUAGUUCUGAAGCCCCUUCUUGGAAACACCACCCAGCAUCUGCAGUGGGGUGUCCUGCUGCGUUUCCCCGCAGUCCCUGUUACCUGGACUGGUGUCCCUGUUCCCUGUCUGUGCCUGAGUGGACCGUGGAUCCUCCAGGAGGCACUCAUGUCCCCGCCACCUCGGGAGCCCCGCUCCUAAAAAAAUUCUGCUGAGUGAAUGAAUGAGAGAACAGAGGAGGUAGAUAUUUUGAGCAGAGCCCAAGGGAAGAUUGCCUUUGUAUUUGAGCAUUCCAUGUGUAGAUAUUCUUGGUAGUUAGGAAAGAUUGGAAGCAGAAGGGAUGACACAGUUCCCAAUGUCUAGUCCUAUAUUAGACCUUUGGGAGGAAGAACUGUUCUGGGCCCUAGGACCCAGUGGCGUUUGCUUAUUUGAAUUCCCUUGUCCAGCACCCUCACCACAAACUCCAGGGCCAGCCUGAGGAAGGACACUCUGGGAAGUGUGGGUGGCGAUGACAGGGACAAAAACACUGAUCCUGCCUGGGCGCGGUGGCUCAUGCCUCUAAUCCCAGCACUUUGGGAGGCUGAGGAAGGCAGAUCACUUAAGGUCAGGAGUUCAAGACCAGCUUGGCCACCAUGGUGGAAUCCCAUCUGUACUAAAAAUACAAAAAUUAGCCAGCUGUGGUGGUGCACACCUGUAGUCCCAGCUACUUGGGAGUCUGAGGCAGGAGAAUUGCUUGAACCCAGGAGGCAGUGGUUGCAGCGAGCCGAGAUGGUGCCACUGUACUCCAGCUGUGACACAGGGAGACUCCAUCUAAGAAAAUAAAAAACCAAAACAUUUUUCUUGUGUUUUAGUUCCUGUCCAGAGGAUCCCUGAGAUCUCAGCAUCUAAACACCUCCCUCCACCUGACGGGGCCCCAGGGUGGUGCAAACGUUCUCCUUGGCCGUCCUCAAAGCUUUCUGGGAGCUGCUAGGAGGUGUGGGGUGGCAGGUGGUGAUAUCAGCCCUCUUCUUUGCCAUUUCCCUCCGUGCCCCACCCCUCCUGUGGAUGACCACGUUGCUCCAGCUCAGAAAUGCACCUCUGGUGUAGAUUUAAAUUAUUUUUUAUCGCAAUAGCACUUUAAAUACACAAAUGCAAAGUACUUUAAGCAUGUGAAAGGUUGAACUCCUUGUACUUACUCAGCUAGGGAAACAUAUUUACAAACAAAACCUUCCAACUCUAUAGAGCGUGAUCAUUGAAUGUGGGGGAUGAAACACAACCUCUGAAGUGUGUUUUCAUAGGGAAAGUAAUGCAGUCUUCCGUCCGGUUCCGUGUUUAGACAUAGAGAAUGUCUUUUCAUAUAAGCAUGUUGUGCAAAGUGUCGUGAUUAAUCUAAGGGCUUUGUUGGCUGGCUUACACUCAUCACUCCUCAUAUUUAACCAAAUGCUGCUAGCAAGCAAUCGAAAUGUCGGCUUAAGUGAGGUAGUAUUACAAACUGUGAAACCGUAUCUCACAUAAAGUUAGCAAUACGGUGAUGUUGUUUUCUACAUUAAAAAAUAUUUAGUUUAAUACUGCCAGGCUCAGGGAUAGAAAUUAAACUUGGUUAUUAAUCCCUGCAAAAAGAAAAGAAGUCUUAGUUCAGCAUAGGCUGUGGAAGGAAAGCAAUGAAUGCUGGAAAUGAUGCAUUUGUGCAGUUUCAAGGUCUGACCAUAACUUAGGCUUUCUUACUGUCGUUUUCAUUUUGUCUUCACGUUAAAAUAUCCACACUUUUGAGAAACCUGUGUUUGCUCAGUGACGUUAAUAUCAUUGGACUUUCCUUGCUCCAAAACUUCAUGUACACGCUACACCGAGUGCUCUUUUCUCAUUAGCUCGGGAAAGGGAGAAUGGCCCAUCACUCGAACACAGUGCAUCCGCAUCUCGAUGCAUGGUGUUACUCAUUUAAGAAAGUGAUGUUUUAACUAUGAAAAUAGCGGUCAGUGGCAAACUAUGACUGCAAAAGAAGGGUUUUAUCUUUAUAAUUAUCAAACAAUUUAACAUGACUACAGUAUGGUUUAUCGUGACUCCUGCACAUCAGGGGACAGUUCCAGGGAGGCGACACGGGCUCAGAAUAAAAUCUUAUCCAGUGUCAGUUAUCCAGAUGGAAAGCAGUGCCCCAGCACUUCCUGGGUGUGCCUCUGUGCCUGUCGCUACUUCUGGAGGAGACUUGGCCAAGCCAGACUGGGGUCCCAGCUCGACCUUUUCCUUUACACAGACCUCAGGUGAUGGAGCAGUUGACUUCACUAAUCUGGGAGGAAAUGCUCUGUGAAGCAAAGGGCCAGGUGAAACCUUGGAGACCCUCUGCCUCACUCCUUCUGUAUAGGCAAGGCAAGCUGUGGGGAAGGAAACCGGUCUCAUCAGAGAGUGUCAUCUUCCUAGGGGCUCACAGCUGACAAGAAGCUCCCUGCUGCAGGGCACGGAGCCAUGGAAACCCCAGCACUGAUUUCGUAGAGGCAACAGAGAUGUUAAAAGAAGGGCACUGUGAGGGCUGCGGGUUCAGUGCUGAUCUCCCUUGCAUUCCCUGGCUGCCAACGUCGUGUCUUAGAGUGGAGAAUGAAUGGAGAGUAACUCCCUCUGGCCAUGGUACUAAGGAGAGACAGAGUGAUGAUUCUGAGAUUACUCAAGGCUUUUUUGUCCAAAGUGUGUGUUCAAGGGCCAGGGGCAGUGGCUCAUGCCUGUAAUUGCAGCACUUUGGGAGGCUCAGGCAGGUGGAUCACGUGAGGUAAAGAGUUCAAGACAAGCCUGGCCAUCAUAGUGAAACCCCAUCUCUAUUAAAAAUACAAAAAGUAGUCAGGCAUGGUGGCAGGCACCUGUAAUCCCGGCUACUCAGGAGGCUGAGGCCGGAGAACUGCUUGAACCAGGGAGGCGGAGGUUACAGUGAGUCAAGAUCACACCACUGCACUCCAGCCUGGGUGACAGAUCGAGCCUCCAUCUCAGAAAAACAAAACAAAACAAAACAAAAACAAACAAACACCCAAAACAAAGUAUCAAGUACAUGUUCAAGGAAUUAGUCUCAGAGGGGCACUCAACCCAACGCAACUUUGACAAGGUCAAGUAACAGUAGCUCCAUCUUGUGUGCCGGGCACCACGCUAAGCACUGCAGGCCUUAGUUUCUCCUCCCGUUUAACAAUGUCUGGGUACCUAUUGCUGUGUAUGAACCAACCCAAAUCACAGUGGCUGAAAACAGCCAUUCAGUUCGCUCCAGGAUUCUGUGGGUUGACUAGAUUCUGUGGGACGUUUUUCUGCUCCACGUGGUGAGGCUGCGGCCACCUUGGGACUGGCCUGCACUGCUCACUUGGGUCUGGGGCCCUGGCAGGGACAGCUGGAAGGCCAGGCUGAGCUGGGAUCUGGGGAUGGCUGGGUCUCUGCCUCUUCUACACCCUUCUCCAUAUAGCGUUUUCACCUGGAGGUGGAGAAGCAGGGCAGACAGAUUUCUUCCUCGGUGGUGCAGAACUCAUCAAAGUACGAAAGCAGAGGCCACGAGAUUUUCUUGUGGCCUAGACUAGGAGUGGCACAGCACCAUUCUGCCACUUUCUGUUGGCAAAGUGAGGCACAGGGCCAGCCCAGUUGCGAAGUGGGAGGGGCUGCACAGGGGCUUGGAGAAUGGCAGGGGUGGUGGUCAGCCAGGUAAUGAGAGGGGUCACUCAAGGCAGCAGAAGCUCAGCAAGAUGGAGUCACUUGAGUUCACAUAGCUGCUGACUGGUCUAUUGCCAAGAUUGAUGAUUCAAAUUCAGGUCAGCCAAACUUCAAACCCACGUUCUCUGCUGCUGCUGAACUGAUCAUCACCCAGUACACAUAGAAAAGAGGGGCAGAGGCUAAAACACGUCACAAAAGCUAAGAGCCAUCCUGUACCAAGGCUUGCAAGUCAUGCUGAGUCAGCUUUUAAAAUAGAUUUUAGUUAUGCCCAGAAAAACAGGAACAAGAAAGAAGAGGCUCCCUGCUUGGAACAGAUGGUGAAAUUUAACAGAUGAAAAAACAGCGCUGCUGAACUCUGAUUUGGCUUCUAUUCUAUCAAGGAUCAUUAUCUUCAAACCAUGAAGGGCAGAGCAAACAUCAGUCUGAGGGAGGCUGUGUUAUGCACAGACUCUGAGGCAGAAGGUCCUGGGGUUUGCUCCAAUCUGCUCCACAAGCUGCUUUCAUGCAAGAAACCCACGCUCAUCCUCCAAGAUGGUAUCCAGCUCUAAGAGGAGAAAAUAGAAACAAGCACACAGGCCAUCUGACGGUUAAACGAGACCUGUGAUACAUAGUGAGAUAGCCCGACCUAGCACAGAGCUUCGCUCAACCAAGGUUAAUUUCCAUUCAGGAGGUCAUGUGACCAUCUGAUCUGAACAGAUUAGAUUUCGAAGGGUGAAGGAAGUGCUAGAUACAGAAGACAUUGGUAGACGUAUGAUGCGCCUUAAAGAACACUGGAGGCCACAUGCGGCAGCUCACACCUGUAAUUCCAGCACUUUGGGAGGCUCAGGCAGGUGGAUCACUUGAAGUCAGGAGUUUGAGACCCGCCUGGCCAACAUGGUGAAACCUCUCUCUCCUGAAAAUACAAAAAUCAGCUGAGUGUGGUGGUGCACAUCUGUAGUCCCAGCUACUUGGGAGUCUGAGGCAUGAGAAUUGCUUGAACCCUGGUGGCUGAGGUUAGGUUGAGCUGAGACUGUGCCACUGCUCUUCCAGCCUGGGCAACAGGGCAAGACUCCGUCUCAAAAAAUAGUAAUAGUAAAAUAAAAUAAAGAAUGCUGGGAAACAGCAAAAGUGCAAAAAAACUGAAGCAACUGUGGUCCUGAAUUCCAAAAGAGGCAGGUGUUUCAACAAAAUCUAGCCCAAUAAAUUGAUUCUAAUCCUGGGCAAGGCCCUAGAUGUAACUCAUGAUAACAUCCAUGCCGCAGAGCACUUGCAGUCACUACAAACCAUGUUGUAAAAGCCUAUUUCACGAUAAGGGAGACUGUUCUCACUACGGCGAGCUAUAAACCUGAUGGCAGAACAAUACGUAUGCUGUUAUCUUAUAUCUUAAUUUGGAUAAAAAACACUUGUGAAUGUGCUCUCACAAAACAAGGGUCCAAAGGUCCAAGGCUGUCCCUUUAGUCCCUCUGCAGAUGGCCUUUCCUCUUUCUUUGUCCAUAGGAUGUCCGUCCACCAAGACUGGCCGGGCUUUCUCCAGUCUUGACCAGGCACCUGGGAGAGGGCAGCUGGCUGGCCUGGUUGAGCUUGGAUCUCUACUCCAGUCCAAUCUGUUACCAGCAUUUCAUGCAAACGUGGGUGCUAGGCCUAUCCCUGUGAUUUGGGGGACAGUUCUGAGAGGAUGAGGGGUUAUGAGUUGGCCACAAACCCCCAAAGAUGACUGUUAUACAUAGCUGGCAACAUGCAUGAGAGCACAAGAAAAAUGACCCACAAUCGCAGACACCAGCUGUCUAUUCACCAGGGCUCCAGGAGGAGAUAGUUGGCACCCACAAUUUAUGUAGUUUGUAAUUUGAAGAGAGAUUAAUAAAGGGACUGUUUACAAGUCUAGGGAGCCCCAGAGGAUGGUGCACAGCCCUGGAGCUGGUGACAGCAAGGCGCCUCAGCUCCCUCGGCCUGAAGAGGUGAAGGGAGCAGCUCUCAGAGCCUGUAGGAUCUGCCAGCAGUGGCCAGGGGACCCAGCAGCACUGAGGCAGGCAGGGAGGGAACGGCGAGAACACAUUCCCAAGUUCCCUCUCCUCCCUCGGCCCAGUGGCCCAGGCAGGGGUGGGGGGGCCUUCCACUGGUCCAAGCCAACCAGAAGCCAGAGGUCAAGGCGCCCAUUGAUGCAGCUUAUGAAUCUGCAAACAGAAGGUAUUCAGCACGUCUGAUGGCCUUCAGCAGAAUUUUGGUUUACAGAAAAACAUAAGGGGUCCCAGAUUUAGAUUCUGUUUCACAGCCGGCUGUUUUCACAGAGUGUCAUAUGAAAAACACCUUUUUCAUGUCUCCGGAAAUGAAAUGGCUGAUUAACAUUCUUCUAUAGGACAAUGAGCCGUUCUCUUAUUUAGCAUCUGGGUCAUUUCCAGUUUUCACCCUGAUGUCUUUAGGUUUGGUAACUGUCUGCUGUAGAACGCCAUGUCCUCCCUUUCCCCAGAGAUUUGACACUUGGCAUUGUAAUUGUCUGCUGUCUGUCUGUCUGCCUCCGUCCUAGACUGCCUUGCCCUUGAGUUCCUUUGUCUCUGUAGCCCAGCUUCUAACAAUGCCUGGCACCGCAUAGGCACUCAAUAAAUAUUUGUGGCACAUAAAACAAUGAACACAUGACAAGACAGCCAGUGAAGGUUGGAUACUGGCCCGGGGCAUGACUUUCUCUCAUCUUUGAUGCACACCGCAGGGUGCCGAUGAAAGUGCCAGAAUGUGCCACCCGAGCUUGGCGUUGAGGCAGCAGGCUGCAAGGGAAAGAGGUCGGGCUUAGCUCCUAUAUUUCUGAGGGUUUUUUUUUUUUUUUUUUUGAGAUGGAGUUUCGCUCUUGUUGCCCAGGCUGGAGUGCAGUGGCACGAUCUUGGUUCACUGCAACCUCUGCCUUCUGGGUUCAAGCAAUUCUCCUGUCUCAGCCUCCCGAGUAGCUGAGAUUACAGGCAUGCACCACCAUGCCCAGCUAAUGUUUUUGUAUUGUUAGUAGAGACUGGGUUUCACCAAGUCCAACUCCUGACCUCAGGUGAUCCACCCAUCUCGGCCUUUCAAAGUUUUGGGAUUAUAGGUGUGAGCCACUGUGCCCGGCCACUUUUCAGGUUUUAAGAGCACGUUCCUAAAUAUCUCUGCCUCUCGGUUCCUCUUUGCAUAACAGAGGCACAGGUUCUCACAGCUGUAGCCCUGGGUUUCCAAUCCUCGCAGCUCUGUCGCUAUUAUUCUUCCCUUUUUCAGUAGCAUCAUUACCCAAGAAUGUGUUAGGCAGUCGUGUUGAGAUAGAAAAGGGAAAAAUGCCAGCAAAGAAGGUCAAGCUAAAUUCUCUAUUUAAAGAAGUCCGAGAUUACAAUGGAGAGAACCAACGUGCAGAGGCAACAGCAGGAAACAGGAAGCUGGAAUUGCAACUGAGGAUUCUCCACCAAGACAAAUGCGCACGUCAGAUUCACUUCCAAUUCCAGCAGACAUUUUUUUUCAAGAUAAGAGUCUUGCUCUGUUACCCAGGCUGGAGUGGCGUGAUCCCUGGUCACGCAGCCUCUGCCUUCAGGGUUCAAGCAACUCUCCUGCCUCAGCCUCCUGGGUAACUGGGAUUACAGGCGUGGGCCAUCGCACCCAGCUAAUUUUUGUAUUUUUGGUAGAGACAGGGUUUCACUAUGUUGGCCAGGCUGGUCUCAAACUCCUGACCUUAUAAUCUGCCUACCUCAGCCUCCCAAAGUGUGGGAUUACAGGCGUGAGCCACUGUGCCCGCCGAAUUCCUACAGAUUUUUCAUCAUUCGAUAUUUAACAAAUCUGCCUCUUGGAAAGGUCUUGACGCACCUGAGGAAAUCUUACCCAGUGACAAGUUUUUAUACUUCAAGCUGAAUAAUCAUAAUAAAGCAAGUGAAACGGCUCCAGGCUUAAGAAGAAGAGUUGGCAGGGCCUCAGGAACUUAAGCUGGGAGUACAUUUCCACUGGUUCUAUGACGACAAUUAGUAAAUUAGUGGAACCCCUGUUUCUAUCUUUCUUUUCUUUUGGAGACAGGGUGCCACUCCCGUUGCCCAGGCUGGAGUGCAGUGGUGCGAUCUCGAUUCACUGCGACCUCGACCUCCCAGGCUCAGGCGAUUCUCCAGCUUCAGUCCCUGCUUCUGUUAAACUUUUCUUUCUGUUAGUGUCUAGCUCCUUCAUUCCCAUUUCAAGUUAAAUUUCAACUCUCUGGCGAUGGCCUAUUUCCGAUUGACCCUUCUUGGAAGUAAGUUUAGGCAUUUCUUGGGUCCCUCCUCCCAAGCAGGUGCAGAAUUCCAGGCUCUGGUCCUCCCAGCUCUGUGAGGCUGCCGGAAGCUCUGUGUGGCCUCUUUGCCACUGCCCUCUUCUUGGUUUCUUGGCCUGCCACUCUGUGUGUGGGAAGGACCUGGCCAAAGCCUGGGAGCCUGGCAGGUGGCCCGACAACAGGCCGGCUUCCCGUGCCUCAGAGAUCUUGGCCUUCAAGUCCUGGCACUGAAAGUUGCCUUUCUUUCCUUUGCCUUUUAUUUCCUACCAUUUGGAGUUGGGGGUGGAAGUCAAGCAAGCCACAUGUCUUCCUGCCAGAGUACAGUCUCCCAGUGGAGUCCUGGGUGCUGCCUUGGCCUUGUGAUUCCUAUUUUCCAGCUCCACCAGCCUCAGCCACGCGCUCACAGGGCUGACACUAGAUUUUGUUACAACCGAGCCCUGUGCCACCUCUGAAACCUCAAUUUCCAGCAUCCACCGCUGCCACCUUUUGUCCUUCCACCCCUGCUCACUCGCUCUGUACCCCCACAUCAACAAUCCCCCCACCCGGAUGAGGCUCCCCUCCCCAGGCCAUCGUUUCCCACUCUCCAGCAUUCCCGGCUCUCACCUCCUGCCUCGUCAAACCCCAAUUCCACUCUGACGCUGCUUCGCAAACCCUCUAUCCUCCCUUGCUCGUUUCUCCCUCUGACAUACAGGCCACCAGCAAUGGAGCCCAGCCAUUUCUCACGCAACCUUAGUUGAUGGACAUGGCUGGAGAGACCGGGUUAAAUACAUUUCUUCCAAAUCAGUUUCGAAUGGACACCCGACCCAGCCUCACUUCCCAGCUCUCAGUUGGUGACUUCACCAAAGCCGACAGAUAAAACAUGUGCUAUCAUGCUGGGUGCGGUGGCUCACACCUGUAAUCCCAGCACUUUGAGAGGCUGAGGUGGGUGGAUCACUUGAGGUCAGGAGUUCGAGGCCAGCCUGGCCAACAUGGUGAAACCCCAUCUCUACUCAAAAUACAAAAAUUAGCCAGGUGUGGUGGCUCGCGUCUGUAGUCCCAGAUGCUCAGGAGGCUGAGGCAGGAGAAUUACUUGAGCCUGGGUGGUGGAGACUGCAGUGAGCCAAGAUCUCGCCACUGCACUCCAGCCUGGGCAACAGAGCAAGACUCAGUCUCAAAAAAAAAAAAAAAGUGGUAUCAAAUGAGAACUUGCCAUCUUCCCGACCUCAGUCCCACUGUCAUACUGCCUGUGUCCCCAGGGAGUUCCUUCUCCUCAAUCCGUCCUCUAAACAUUGGGACCUCAACGUCCUGUACUUGUGUUUCAUCUCUGUCUAGACCCCUUCCCUAGGUAACUGUUCUGAAUUGGAUUUUGUCCUUCCGAGAUUCCUGUCCACCAGAACCUUGUUUGGAAAUAGGGUCUUUGCAAAAGACAGCAGGUUAAGAUGAGGUCAUAGCGGAGCAGAGUGGGCCCUCACCCAGCGACUGGUGUCUUCAUACAGGAGGAAGAUUUGGACAUCGAUAGAGGGGAAAGGCCAGCUGAAGGCAGGGGCAGAGAUGGAGCAACACGGCUGCAGGCUGAAGACGUGCAAUCAUGCAAAAGAUGGACCAGAAGUUGGAAGAGGGCGGGAAAGAUUCUCCUCUAGAGCUUUUGGAGAGGGCAUGCUCCUGUCCUGGACUUCCAGCCUACAGAGCUGUGACGGCAUAAACAGCUGUUGCUUUAGAUCAACUAGUAUGUGUGCCCUGUUAUGACAGUCACAGGAAACCAGGACGGCAAUCCUUUGACUUCCACCAUCUCUGCACCGAUGACACUGAAAAUCUAUAACUCCACCACUGUCCUUGUAUCUAAGUCCCAGACAGGGCUACAAACCAUUUGCUUAGCAUCACCCUUUGGAUGUCAGAAGGCACCUCAAACUUACCAUGGCCCGAAGAGAACUCCUGAAUGCCCCUAAGUCUGCUGCCUGCACGCCUUCUCCCUGCUCAGUAAAUGAAACUUACGCAAUUUCUCAGGAAAAACUCAUCAUGUUCUCUGGUACUUUAGCUCUAUCAUCUUUCUUUCUUUUUGGAGACAGAGUCUUGCUCUGUCACCAGGCCAUAGUACAGUGGCCCAAUCACAGCUCACUGAAGCCUUGACCUUCCAGGCUCAAGUGAUUCUUCUACUGCAGCCUUCCAAGUAGCUGGAACUACAGGUGCACGCCACCACACCCCGCUGACUUCAUUAUUUGUUUGUAGUGAUGGGGUUUCACCAUGUUGCCCAGGCUGGUGGCACUCCUGGACUCAAGUGGUUCACUUGACUUGGCCUCCCAAAGUGCUGGGAUUACAGGUGUGUCACUGCACCUGGCCACUAUAUAAAGCUAGAACCCCAGUGCAGGUCCCCAUCAGCCCUCACCUGGACCAUCAUCUCUCA